GCUGGUUGGCGGGGUAACGGCCCACCAAGGCGACGAUCAUUAGGGGUUCUGAGAGGAAGGUCCCCCACAUUGGAACUGAGAAACGGUCCAAACUCCUACGGGAGGCAGCAGUGAGGAAUAUUGGUCAAUGGGCGAGAGCCUGAACCAGCCAAGUCGCGUGAAGGAAGAAGGUCUUAUGGAUUGUAAACUUCUUUAGCAGGGGAAUAAAGGUUAUUACGAGCUAAUAAUUUGCAGGUACUCUGCGAAAAAGGAUCGGCUAACUCCGUGCCAGCAGCCGCGGUAAUACGGAGGAUUCGAGCGUUAUCCGGAUUUAUUGGGUUUAAAGGGUGCGUAGGCGGAUUUGUAAGUCAGUGGUGAAAGUUUCCGGCUUAACCGGGAGAAUGCCGUUGAGACUGCAGGUCUUGAGUGCAAGCGAGGUAAGUGGAAUGUGUUGUGUAGCGGUGAAAUGCAUAGAUAUAACACAGAACACCGAUUGCGAAGGCAGCUUACUAGUAUGUAACUGACGCUGAGGCACGAAAGCGUGGGGAGCAAACAGGAUUAGAUACCCUGGUAGUCCACGCAGUAAACGAUGAAUACUAGCUGUAUGCGAUAGACAGUAUG
rnacentral:rRNA from 1 species